rnacentral:tRNA from 1 species
UCCCUGGAGGACUAGUGGUUAGGCCAUGGUGCUCUCACUUCUGCGGCCCGGGUUCAAUGCCCAGCCAGGGAA